rnacentral:rRNA from 1 species
UACGGAGGGGGCAAGCGUUAUUCGGAAUUAUUGGGCGUAAAGGGCGCGUAGGCGGCUAGAUGUGUCAAAGGUGAAAUCCCUCGGCUCAACUGAGGAACUGCCUUUGAAACUGUCUGGCUUGAGGCCGGGAGAGGGUAGCGGAAUUCCCAGUGUAGCGGUGAAAUGCGUAGAUAUUGGGAGGAACACCAGUGGCGAAGGCGGCCGACUGGUCCGGUUCUGACGCUGAGGCGCGAAAGCGUGGGGAGCAAACAGG